rnacentral:rRNA from 1 species
GUGGAUUAGAUACCCGGGUAGUCCACGCCGUAAACGAUGAAUACUCGGCAUCUGGGGGGCGAUAUUCGUCCGCCGGGUGCCCCAGCUAACGCGGUAAGUAUUCCGCCUGGGAACUACGAGCGCAAGCUUAAAACUCAAAGGAAUUGACGGGGGCCCGCACAAGCAGCGGAGCGUGUGGUUUAAUUCGACGCAACGCGCAGAACCUUACCCAGGUUUGACAUGGCACUGCAAGCCGGUGAAAGCCGGUCGCCUUCGAGGGUGUGCCACAGAUGCUGCAUGGCUGUCGCCAACU